rnacentral:rRNA from 1 species
AGGGUUCGAUUCCAGACAGGGAGCCUCAGAGAUGGCUACCACCUCCAAGGCAGGCAGCAGGCGCGUAAAUUACCCAAUCCUGACAUAGGGACGUAGUUUAUUUGGUGGUCUCCUUACCACUCGGAUAACCGUGGUAAUUCAAGAGCUAAUGCGUGCAGCAUAUCCCGACUUCUGGGAGGGAUGUAUUUAUUGGAAAAAAGGUCAAUCUGGGGUUGCCCGUUGUUGCAGUGAAUCAUGGUGACUUGUCGAAUCGCAUGGCCUUUGCGCCGGCGAUGUUUGAUUCAAAUUUCCGCCCUAUCAACUUUGGAUGGUAGGAUAGAGGCCUACCAUGGUGGUAACGGGUGACGUAGAAUUAGGGUUCGAUUCCAGACAGGGAGCCUCAGAGAUGGCUACCACCUCCAAGGUUGGCAGCAGGCGCGUAAAUUACCCAAUCCUGACAUAGGGAGGUAGUGACAAUAAAUAACAAUACUGGGCUCUUUCGAGUCCGGUAAUUGGAAUGAGAACAGGCGUAAACUCCUUGAAAGAGGAUCCACUGGAGGGCAAGUCUGGUGGCACUAAUUCCGGCUCCAAUUGCGUAUAUGUAAGUUGAUGUAGACUUGCAGUUAACAAGCUCGUAGUUUGAUUUUGGGUGGGAGGGGUCGUCCGCUCUUGCGGGUGUGUACCAGCCCUUUUACCUUUCUUGCCGGGUAUGCGCUCCUGGCCUUUAUUGGCUGGGAUCCAGAGCUGGCGCUGUUACUUUGAAAAAAUUAGUGUUCAAACCAGGCCUGAAAAUAUUAGCAUGGAAUAAUGUGAUAGGACUCUCGUCCUAUUUCGUUGGUCUUCGGACUCGUCGGGAUUGGAGUAAUGAUUAAUAGAGACGGUUGACAUUCAUAUUCCAUUGUCAGAGGUGAAAUUCUUGGAUUUAUGGAUGACGAACUUCUCCGAAAGCAUUUGCCAAGGGCGUUCUCAUUAAUCAAGAACGAAAGUUGGGGGAUYGAAGACGAUCAGAUACCGUCCUAGUCUCAACCAUAAACGAUGCCGACUAGGGAUUGGCGGAUGUCUAUUGGAUGACUCUGCCAGCACCUUGUGAGAAAUCAAAGUUUACGGGAUGGUCACAAGGCUGAAACUUAAAGGAAUUGACGGAAGGGCACUACCAGGCGUGGAGCCUGCGGCUUACUUUGACUCAACACGGGGAAACUCACCAGGUCCAGACAUAGCAAGGAUUGACUGAUUCAGGGCUCUUUAUUGAUUCCAUGGGUGGUGGUGCAUGGCCGUUCUUAGUUGGUGGAGUGAUUUGUCUGGUUAAUUCCGUUAACGAACGAGAACUCAUCCUGCUAAAUAGCUAUGCGGUAACCUUCGCUCGUGGCCAGCUUCUUAGAGGGACUGUUGGACGACUGGCCCACGGAAGUUCGAGGCAAUACGAGGUCUUUGAUGCCCUUAGAUGUUCUGGGCCGCACGCACGCUACGCUGAUGAAUCCAACGAGUCGCUUGCCUGGGUUGAAGGCCCGGGUAACCUUCUUAAGGUUCAUCGUGACGGGGAUAGAUUCUUAAGGUUCAUCGUGACGGGGAUAGAUUGUUGUAAUUAUCGAUCUUGAACGAUGAAUGCCUAGUAAAUCAGCUCGUGCUGAUUACAUCCCUGCCCUUUGUACACACUGCCCGUUGGUGAUCUCAACGGUUUGCCGCUGGGGGUGCUGUGAGAAGUGCAUUCAGGCUUAUCAUUUAGAGGAAGGAGAAGUCGUAGUAAGGUUUCCGUAGGUGAACCUGCGGAAG